rnacentral:rRNA from 1 species
UACGUAGGGUGCAAGCGUUGUCCGGAAUUAUUGGGCGUAAAGAGCUCGUAGGCGGUUUGUCGCGUCUGCUGUGAAAACCCGAGGCUCAACCUUGGGCUUGCAGUGGGUACGGGCAGACUAGAGUGCGGUAGGGGUGACUGGAAUUCCUGGUGUAGCGGUGGAAUGCGCAGAUAUCAGGAGGAACACCGAUGGCGAAGGCAGGUCACUGGGCCGCAACUGACGCUGAGGAGCGAAAGCAUGGGGAGCGAACAGG